GACGAACGCUGGCGGCGUGCUUAACACAUGCAAGUCGAACGGAAAGGCCCUGCUUGCAGGGUACUCGAGUGGCGAACGGGUAAGUAACACGUGGGUGAUCUGCCCUGCACUUCGGGAUAAGCCUGGGAAACUGGGUCUAAUACCGGAUAGGAGCCAUUUUUAGUGUGAUGGUUGGAAAGUUUUUUCGGUGUAGGAUGAGCUCGCGGCCUAUCAGCUUGUUGGUGGGGUAAUGGCCUACCAAGGCGGCGACGGGUAGCCGGCCUGAGAGGGUGGACGGCCACAUUGGGACUGAGAUACGGCCCAGACUCCUACGGGAGGCAGCAGUGGGGAAUAUUGCACAAUGGGCGCAAGCCUGAUGCAGCGACGCCGCGUGGGGGAUGACGGCCUUCGGGUUGUAAACUCCUUUCGCUAGGGACGAAGCUUUUUGUGACGGUACCUAGAUAAGAAGCACCGGCUAACUACGUG
rnacentral:rRNA from 1 species